GUCUUCAGCCAUACCACCCUGAGCAUACUUGUUUUCGCCUGAUCUCGGAAGAUAAGCAGGGUUUGGCCUGUUUAGUUCUUGGAUGAGAGAAUAAACAAGUAGAUGAAUGGG
rnacentral:rRNA from 1 species